GAUUGACCUCGGAUCA
rnacentral:rRNA from 2 species